rnacentral:lncRNA from 1 species
UAACCACUGGCUUCAGUGUUUCUAUUAGUCCUGAGCCUCAGCGAUAGGAAAGUCCCAGCAAUACAACACCAAUACAAGCGCUAACACAGAGACAGCGGCCCUUCACACACACCUGAAAGGAAAACUCUUUCUCCGUUUCUCCCUGUGCAGCAUCAUUCUGCUUCUCUUAUGGGCCACAGGUGUGUUCUGAGGAUCACCUACUACAUGUCAUCUGAUUAAUCUUUUAGACUGUUUUAGCAGCUAAAAGGCCUUUAAGUAUAAUUUUAGUACAAACAUCCACCUUUAGUUGGUGGUUCAUGUGUCUUUUUGCUGUGAAAUCUGAUUUUUAUGAAAUAUAGCCUAUAUUAUUGGUAGUAAUAUUUCAAGAUGAAUACUUACUGGACUGAAGCAGCUUAGGUUUAUCAUUUUUUAGAAAAAUCAUGUUCAAAUGUGAAUAUCAAAUAUUUGUUCAUCUCUCAAUCAUCAUUGUAUUGCAUUGCAAUAUAUGUUUUUGAGCAUUUAAAUAUACCCCAGCGACUUAAGACUGGUUUUGUGCUCCAGGGUCACAUAUGAUGCAUAAAAGCCUGAUGCAUCAAAUAUGAUACAAAACAAAAAAGAUUCUGUCUAAAGUAAAAACUGAAUGAAAUGUCACAACACUUCAUUGUGAACACAAACUCAUGUGUGUAUAUCAUACCUGUUUCAGAGAUGCAGACUGAUGGAUGGGUAGCUGACGGUGUAAAAGCAGUACAUGGACACGGCUGCGCAGGAGCGGGGCGCCGCUGAGAUGAUGAUCUGGACUGUGACGUUCACGUAUGGAGAAGUGGAGCAGAGACUAGACCAACUGACAGGAACACCUGAGGAUCUGGACUGUGACGUCACGUAUGAGAAGUGGAGCAGAGACUAGACCAACUGCAGGAACACCUGAGCAGGUUAGAGUGUCAGAUGACAUCAGACAUUCAGAGUAUCCUUCAGCUGCUGCAGAGACAGACGUGUUUGGGACCUCCAGCCUACAGCAGCCUCACAGCCGGUCCCAAAGACAAGAGACCCGGCAUCAGAGUGCAGCCCAUGGCUUCUGUUCCCAGCAACCCACAGCACUGCACAGCACAGGUGCCACCCGCCUAGAGAUGAGAAACAAUCCAAUAACACUGAACCUGAACCGUUAACUUAACCAAAUGUCUUGAAAAUCAUUCAAAUAUUUCUGAAGGUUAAUUGUCAGCCGUAGUCCAGUGUUAUUUUAUUAUUACUUACACACUAUUACAGUAUGUUAAUAAUUUGAAUGAGCUUUUAUUUAUAUAUUUUCAGUUUUCAUUUCAAAGUUGUAGUUAUUGUGUUAUGCACUUUUGUCAUGUGUAUAUAUAUAUAUAUAUAUUUAUGUACAUUUUGGAGAUGGGUCCAUAGUUACAGUACAUACUUGAGGUCUACACGGAGUUUCUUCACUUGUGAAUAAUUAAUUUUGGCAUUAACAAAUCUAUUUCACUGCAUCUGAGAUAUGCAUUAAAUAAUUCGAUAAUAGAUAUUAUAAAAAUGCAAGCUAAAUAUUUUAGCGUCUAUAUAUAGUGUAAGAAACUAUAAAUAAUUGCAUGAAUAAGUGCAUUUUUUAUGCCCUGAUUAUAUAUAUAUAUAUUUUGUUUUUACUGAAAUAAAUGUAAAAAAAAAAACCUCAUUUUAAUUCAGCUAAUUCCCAAAGAAACAUUCCUAAUUUUCAUUUAGUUUAACUUGAUGUACUAAAAUAACUAGAAACCAAAACUGAAAUUAAAAAAUAAAACUAUGUAGACAUAUUAAAAAAUAAUAUUAAAAAUGACAAAAACUCACAAUAAAAUGACUAAGACUUUAACAAAUACUAAAAUAUAAAACGAAAAUGUAAAAAUAAAAAUGUAUUAAUAAAAAAAAUAAUAGUAUCUCACUGAUACUAAAAAAGAAGAAGAAGAAAAAAAACACUGAUAUGCACAUUUCCAGAUUUUUUUUUUCUCUGAAGGUUACUACUAUUUCCUAGUAUUUUUUUUUUUCUUCUUGUAAGGUUAUUCUUAUAUUUUUUUUUCAUUAAAUCAGGAUAUAAUUGGCUGCUUUAAGGACUAGACAUUUCAUUUUAAUAAUGCAUUUCUGAAUCAUGCACAACACUAAAAUACACAUGCAAAAUGUUUAUUAUCACCAAUAAACAAUGCAAUAAACCCCUCUUUUACAGGACGAUGACUUUUUGGCUAUGACAAAGAUCCAUCCGAACCCCAGAGACUCUC